rnacentral:rRNA from 1 species
UACGAAGGGGGCUAGCGUUGUUCAGAAUUACUGGGCGUAAAGGGCGCGUAGGCGGUCUUUCAAGUCAGAUGUGAAAGCCCUGGGCUUAACCUAGGAGGUGCAUUUGAUACUGAUGGACUUGAGAUCGAGAGAGGAGAGUGGAAAUGUGAGUGUAGAGGUGAAAUUCGUAGAUAUUCACAAGAACACCAGUGGCGAAGGCGACUCUCUGGCUCGAUACUGACGCUAAGGCGCGAAAGCGUGGGGAGCAAACAGG